rnacentral:rRNA from 1 species
AACGAACGCUGGCGGCAUGCCUAACACAUGCAAGUCGAACGAGGCCUUCGGGUCUAGUGGCGCACGGGUGCGUAACGCGUGGGAACCUGCCCUUAGGUUCGGAAUAACUCCCCGAAAGGGGUGCUAAUACCGGAUAAUGUCUUCGGACCAAAGAUUUAUCGCCUUUGGAUGGGCCCGCGUUGGUUUAGCUAGUUGGUAGGGUAAAAGCCUACCAAGGCGACGAUCCAUAGCUGGUCUGAGAGGAUGAUCAGCCACACUGGGACUGAGACACGGCCCAGACUACUACGGGAAGCAGCAGUGGGGAAUAUUGGACAAUGGGCGAAAGCAUGAUCCAGCAAUGCCGCGUGAGUGAUGAAGGCCUUAGGGUUGUACAGCUCUUUUACCCGGGAUGAUAAUGACAGUACCGGGAGAAUAAGCUCCGGCUAACUCCGUG